GUUUAACAUAUUAAAAUUAAAGCAUUAUUUCUCCAUCUUUUGGCCGAAACUAAGAACAAAGAAGAUUGUUUAAAAGCUUUAGUAUAUUCGGCACUUGCAAGCUUGAUUGAGAUCAAGAAUUAAAGAAAUCGAAUUUGGAUCGGGGAAAGACAAAAGUGGUCGAGUAGCCGAUUUAGCAGUCGACGACAUCCGAGUAACCGCAAUAGCGUCCGUUAUGUCCGCGACCGCAACAAACGCGACGCGACCGAAAACGCGACCGCGACCGUAAUUUAAAUCCCUGGCUAUGAAAUUAAGAUUUUGGAAGUUGGUUACGAGCUCGGGGAUCGUCAGAGAAGAUUAUCACACUAUCGACUCCUCUCGGUAUUUUGUAAAUUUUGAAUUCGAUCUUAUGGCAUGUAUAGCGUAGCUGAAAUGCUUGAAUUUAGAUUAUGUAAUAUUAAGCCAUGCGAAAAUGGCUUAAUUUUCUUGUUUGUGUUCGGUUUUGGGCUGAAUUACGGUUUAAGCAUACUUUAAUCAUGGAUUAGUAUUUUAUGGUUAGUAUUUAUAUGGUAAUGUAUAUAUAUAUGUGCAUGGUGAUUUCAUUCAAGUGUUUCGGUAA